rnacentral:ncRNA from 1 species
UACCUGGUUGAUCCUGCCAGUAGUCAUAUGCUUGUCUCAAAUAUUAAGCCAUGCAUGUCUAAGUAUGAACUAAUUUAGACUGUGAAACUGCGGAUGGCUCAUUAAAUCAGAGUGGCGCAGCAGAAGCGUGGUGGGCCCAUAACCCCUUGUUGAUUAAGGUUGGUUGUCAUUGAUGUCAACCCUUGAAGAAAGACCCGUAGCACAAAGUUUUGGGUAAUGGACCCAAUAGUGUUUGAUGUAAAUAUGAC